GACGAACGCUGGCGGCGCGCUUAACACAUGCAAGUCGAACGGUAAGGUCCUUCGGGGUACACGAGUGGCGAACGGGUGAGUAACACGAGGGUGAUCUGCCCUGCACUUCGGGAUAAGCCUGGGAAACUGGGUCUAAUACCGGAUAGGACUUCUGGCUUCAUGGUGGGGGGUGGAAAGCUUGUGCGGUGUGGGAUGGGCCCGCGGCCUAUCAGCUUGUUGGUGGGGUAAUGGCCUACCAAGGCGACGACGGGUAGCCGGCCUGCGAGGGUGACCGGUCACACUGGGACUGAGAUACGGCCCAGACUCCUACGGGAGGCAGCAGUGGGGAAUAUUGCACAAUGGGCGCAAGCCUGAUGCAGCGACGCCGCGUGAGGGAUGACGGCCUUCGGGUUGUAAACCUCUUUCAGCUAUGACGAAGCGCAAGUGACGGUAGUAGCAGAAGAAGGACCGGCCAACUACGUGCCAGCAGCCGCGGUAA
rnacentral:rRNA from 1 species